AGUGAACGCUGGCGGUAGGCCUAACACAUGCAAGUCGAACGGCAGCACAGUAAGAGCUUGCUCUUACGGGUGGCGAGUGGCGGACGGGUGAGGAAUACAUCGGAAUCUACUUUUUCGUGGGGGAUAACGUAGGGAAACUUACGCUAAUACCGCAUACGACCUACGGGUGAAAGCAGGGGAUCUUCGGACCUUGCGCGAUUGAAUGAGCCGAUGUCGGAUUAGCUAGUUGGCGGGGUAAAGGCCCACCAAGGCGACGAUCCGUAGCUGGUCUGAGAGGAUGAUAAGCCACACUGGAACUGGGACACGGUCCAGACGCCUACGGGAGGCAGCAGUGGGGAAUAUUGGACAAUGGGCGCAAGCCUGAUCCAGCCAUACCGCGUGGGUGAAGAAGGCCUUCGGGUUGUAAAGCCCUUUUGUUGGGAAAGAAAAGCAGCAGGUUAAUACCCCGCUGUUCUGACGGUACCCAAAGAAUAAGCACCGGCUAACUUCGUG
rnacentral:rRNA from 1 species